CAGCCAUGCCAAGGCUGACUUGAUUUCACGAAAGGUGUUUUCAAUGGCUGCUCUGGCUAUUUCAUGUUUUUCAACUUCUUGGCGUUUUGCAGUUCUUCAACGGCGUUCGACGUUGAUUUUGUUUCCCAAAGCGUCUCGUUGAUUAGUGACGCGUGCACUUCCAAUGCGUGAGCGAUUGAAGUGGUUUCUGUUGAUAACUUUUCAACAUGAUUGUUGAUGUGUUCUAGAUCUUCUUCAGUUGACACCCCAAAGAGCCAAUUGAGAACUUUUCCUCCUCCAUCGAUUAGGCCUCUUUUCUUACGGGUUUUUUAAUUCUGCUCGUGCUCGUUCCUCGACUUCUUCUUUUAUCCGUUUUUUAAACCCGUCGUUUGGACCUUCGUAUCUGAAGUUUAGAGUGUUGACCUUUC
rnacentral:lncRNA from 1 species